UAUCUCUGUAGAGUCUGCAUAUCAAUAAGCGGAGGAAAAGAAACUAACAAGGAUUCCCCUAGUAACGGCGAGUGAAGCGGGAAGAGCUCAAAUUUGAAAUCUUCAAGGUUCUACCUUGACGAAUUGUAGUUUAAAGAAGUGUCUUCGGUUAGAGGAGUAGUAAAAGUUCUUUGGAAUAGGACAUCAUAGAGGGUGAGAAUCCCGUAUUUGACUAUUCUUUCUAGCUUUGUGAUACACUUUCAAAGAGUCGGAUUGUUUGGGAAUGCAGUCCAAAAUGGGUGGUAAAUUUCAUCUAAAGCUAAAUAUUGGCGAGAGACCGAUAGCGAACAAGUACCGUGAGGGAAAGAUGAAAAGAACUUUGAAAAGAGAGUUAAACAGUACGUGAAAUUGUCAAAAGGGAAGCGUUUGACACCAGUGUUGUUUUUUCCGAAAAUCAAUUAAAAAUUGAUUCAUGCCAGGUUGUAUUGACCUUAUCAGCUUGCAAUUUGGUUUUGGGUCUCUUUUUGAUGCACUUUUCGGUUAACAAGUCAACAUCAAUUUCCUUUGCUGUAAAAAGGUAAGAGGAAGGUGGCUUCAAUUUCGGUUGAAGUGUUUAUAGCCUUUUAUCUCUGCAGUCGGGGAGAUUGAGGUCUGCAGCGUAGAUCCUUCGGGGCUAGAUACAUUUAUGCUAAGUUAUAGCUUUUCAUAGACAACUUGUUGACUAUGUUUAGUCAUGUAGCUUACUCGUAAGUGCUAUUUUACCUACGCUUAGGAUGUUGAGCGCAUGUCUCUCUCU
rnacentral:rRNA from 1 species